AAAUAGAUACCCCAGGUAGUCCACGCCGUAAACGAUGAGUGCUAAGUGUUAGGGGGUUUCCGCCCCUUAGUGCUGCAGCUAACGCAUUAAGCACUCCGCCUGGGGAGUACGGUCGCAAGACUGAAACUCAAAGGAAUUGACGGGGGCCCGCACAAGCGGUGGAGCAUGUGGUUUAAUUCGAAGCAACGCGAAGAACCUUACCAGGUCUUGACAUCCCGCUGACCGGUCUAGAGAUAGACUUUUCCCUUCGGGGACAGCGGUGACAGGUGGUGCAUGGUUGUCGUCAGCUCGUGUCGUGAGAUGUUGGGUUAAGUCCCGCAACGAGCGCAACCCUUGAUCUUAGUUGCCAGCAUUCAGUUGGGCACUCUAAGGUGACUGCCGGUGAUAAACCGGAGGAAGGUGGGGAUGACGUCAAAUCAUCAUGCCCCUUAUGACCUGGGCUACACACGUGCUACAAUGGACGGUACAGAGGGUCGCAACCCCGCGAGGGUGAGCUAAUCCCAUAAAACCGUUCUCAGUUCGGAUUGUAGG
rnacentral:rRNA from 1 species